GCUAAGCAUAUCAAUAAGCGGAGGAAAAGAAACCAACAGGGAUUGCCUCAGUAACUGCGAGUGAAGCGGCAAAAGCUCAAAUUUGAAAUCUGGUACCUUUGGGUGCUCGAGUUGUAAUUUGGAGAGGCAACUUCGAAGAAGGCGCUGGCCUAAGUUCCUUGGAACAGGACGUCACAGAGGGUGAGAAUCCCGUGCUUGGCUGGCUGUCCUUCUUCAUGUGAAGUGUCUUCGACGAGUCGAGUUGUUUGGGAAUGCAGCUCAAAAUGGGUGGUAAACUCCAUCUAAGGCUAAAUAUUGGCGAGAGACCGAUAGCGCACAAGUAGAGUGAUCGAAAGAUGAAAAGCACUUUGAAAAGAGAGUUAAAAAGUACGUGAAAUUGUUGAAAGGGAAGCGCUUGAGACCAGACUCAGUGAUUGGUGAUCAGUGGUUGCUUUUGCGCCAUGCACUUGCCUUUUACUGGGCCAGCAUCAGUUGUGACGGUGGGAUAAAGGUUUAGGGAAUGUGGCUCUCUUCGGGGAGUGUUAUAGCCCUAGGCGGAAUGCCACCAGUUGUGACUGAGGACCGCGCUUCGGCUAGGAUGCUGGCAUAAUGGUCUUCAGCGACCCGUCUUGAAACACGGACCAAGGAGUCUAACAUCUAUGCGAGUGUUCGGGUGUAAAACCCCUACGCGUAAUGAAAGUGAACGGAGGUGGGAACUCUUUGGAGUGCACCAUCGACCGAUCCUGAUGUCUUCGGAUGGAUUUGAGUAGGAGCAUAGCUGUUGGGACCCGAAAGAUGGUGAACUAUGCCUGAAUAGGGUGAAGCCAGAGGAAACUCUGGUGGAGGCUCGCAGCGGUUCUGACGUGCAAAUCGAUCGUCAAAUUUGGGUAUAGGGGCGAAAGACUAAUCGAACCAUCUAGUAGCUGGUUCCUGCCGAGCU
rnacentral:rRNA from 1 species